CACUUCCAGCAUUAUAAUUAUUGGANGCACUGCCUGCCCAGUGACACCCGUUAAACGGCCGCGGUAUCCUGACCGUGCAAAGGUAGCAUAAUCAUUUGUUCUUUAAAUAGGGACUUGUAUGAAUGGCCACACGAGGGUUUUACUGUCUCUUACUUCCAAUCAGUGAAAUUGACCUUCCCGUGAAGAGGCGGGAAUUCACAAAUAAGACGAGAAGACCCUAUGGAGCUUUAAUUAACUAGCCCACAAAAUAAGCACCACACUUCUAAGGAAGAUAAACUAACUUUUUACUGGGCUAGCAAUUUGGGUUGGGGUGACCUCGGAAUAUAAAACAACUCCCGAGUGACAUAAUCUAGACUAACAAGUCGAAACCCUCUAUCAUUCAGUGAUCCAAAUUCUUGAUCAACGGAACAAGUUACCCUAGGGAUAACAGCGCAAUCCUAUUUGAGAGUUCAUAUCGACAAUAGGGUUUACGACCUCGAUGUUGGAUCAGGACACCCCAAUGGUGCAGCCGCUAUUAACGGUUCGUUUGUUCAACGAUUAAAGUCCU
rnacentral:rRNA from 1 species